UUACAAUGGCAGGUACAGCGGGAAGCCACCUGGCGACAGGGAGCGGAACCCGAAAGCCUGUCUCAGUUCGGACUGGAGUCUGCAACCCGACUCCACGAAGUUGGAUUCGCUAGUAAUCGCGCAUCAGCCAUGGCGCGGUGAAUACGUUCCCGGGCCUUGUACACACCGCCCGUCAAGCCAUGGGAGCCGGGGGCGCCUGAAGUCCGGGACCGCGAGGACCGGCCUAGGGCGAAACUGGUAACUGGGGCUAAGUCGUAACAAGGUACC
rnacentral:rRNA from 1 species